GAUGAACGCUGGCGGCGUGCCUAAUACAUGCAAGUCGAGCGAACAGACGAGGAGCUUGCUCCUCUGACGUUAGCGGCGGACGGGUGAGUAACACGUGGAUAACCUACCUAUAAGACUGGGAUAACUUCGGGAAACCGGAGCUAAUACCGGAUAAUAUAUUGAACCGCAUGGUUCAAUAGUUAAAGACGGUUUUGCUGUCACUUAUAGAUGGAUCCGCGCCGCAUUAGCUAGUUGGUAAGGUAACGGCUUACCAAGGCGACGAUGCGUAGCCGACCUGAGAGGGUGAUCGGCCACACUGGAACUGAGACACGGUCCAGACUCCUACGGGAGGCAGCAGUAGGGAAUCUUGCGCAAUGGGCGGAAGCCUGACGGAGCAACGCCGCGUGAGUGAUGAAGGUCUUCGGAUCGUAAAACUCUGUUAUUAGGGAAGAACAAAUGUGUAAGUAACUAUGCACGUCUUGACGGUACCUAAUCAGAAAGCCACGGCUAACUACGUG
rnacentral:rRNA from 1 species